UACGUACUGUGCGAACGUUAUUCGGAAUCACUGGGCUUAAAGGGUGUGUAGGCGGCUAACUAAGUAGGGUGAUGAAAGGCCUUGGCCUAACCAAGGCAUUGCGCUCUAAACUGGUUGGCUUGAGUAAGAGUAGGGGUGUGCGGAACUUCCAGUGGAGCGGUGAAAUGUGUUGAUAUUGGAAGGAACGCCGGUGGCGAAAGCGGCACACUGGGUCUUAACUGACGCUGAGACGACGAAAGCCAGGGGAGCGAACGGG
rnacentral:rRNA from 1 species